rnacentral:rRNA from 1 species
UACGUAGGCAGCGAGCGUUGUUCGGAGUUACUGGGCGUAAAGGGUGUGUAGGCGGUUGUUUAAGUUUGGUGUGAAAUCUCCCGGCUCAACUGGGAGGGUGCGCCGAAUACUGAAUGACUUCGAGUGCGGGAGGGGAGAGUGGAAUUCCUGGUGUAGCGGUGAAAUGCGUAGAUAUCAGGAGGAACACCGGUGGUGUAGACGGCUCUCUGGACCGUAACUGACGCUGAGACACGAAAGCGUGGGUAGCAAACAGG